rnacentral:lncRNA from 1 species
CUUUCUUUUCAAUAAUGAUUAGCUUUGUAUUGUUUGCUCUCCUUGGAUCAAUACAAUUUAUUUUCUAGUUUUCACUGAGGUGACGCUAUGCUAUACAGCAUUUGUUUGAAUUGUGAUGUAACCUAUGUUUGAGGGAAGAAAUCUGGAAAGGUGGCUAGCAAUUUUGUCCUAAACUCUACCUUGGAGCACCCAUACAACUGCACCUCUAUAUUAAGAGAGGUAUUUCAUUCUCAAUCUAUUCUCCUUUCUGCUUUUUCUAACACAAGAAUUGAGUCACCCAUUUGGUAAUCAAAUGAGAAGAUUAUUGGACACCAAGAAACAGGUAUGGGUGGAGCUUCUAAGGAACACAGAGUAAAGUCACUGCUUUCUGUGGGAAGGAAUCUUCAACCUGCCCAGGCAAGCGGCCAGCUGGCUUGUGGCCUUUAUUCACCCCCAACCCACCCCCUGCAAAACCCCGCCACUAAGUAAAGCCAGAAGCAAGUCCCUACCCAAAGCAGAAAGAGAUGAAGAAUGCCCUGAAGAUGAGGAGAAUGUGAAUGAUGGAAGUGAAUUGGUGGUUGCUCAGCUGCCAUGGAGAGAGUUUGGCUGUGAACAAGUUCCAAAACAGCUUCCAUGUCACAAAGGUGGGGAACAGGGUCUAAGAUACACUGGAAAUCAUGAUCCUUUUGACUGAGUAAACUCAGUUCUUCAAGAUACCCUCUGUGUCUCUUAAGCAGGUGCUUGAUGAGCAAUACAUAAUGAAGAACUGCGGGAACCAAUACCCCCAUAGAAUGGGGAUGAAAUAGUAUCUAGGCAUUUGGAGCUUAAGGAGAGCUUUGCACACUGUUAACAGCGAAAAAUACCAUCUUUUACCUCCUUGAGCAAAAGUUCUCAGAGUUUUGAAAGGAAUUAAUCUGAUAUUUCUACUUUAACCCCAAUAGAAGCCUAAAUCCUGAAAAGUCUCUGCAAAAAGUAUAUUUUGUUGACAGGUUAUUGUAUAGGGUAUAACCUCCUACAAAAA